rnacentral:rRNA from 1 species
CGUACUACAAUGGGUGUUACAGAGGGAAGCUAAGCAGCGAUGUGGAGCGAAACCCCAAAAGCACCCCCAGUUCGGAUUGAAGGCUGAAAUUCGCCUUUAUGAAGCCGGAAUUGCUAGUAAUGGCAGGUCAGCAUACUGCCGUGAAUACGUUCCCGGGCCUUGUACACACCGCCCGUCACACCAUGAGAGUCGGGAACACCCGAAGUCCGUAGCCUAACCGCGGAGGGGGGCGCGGCCGAAGGUGGGUUCGAUAAUUGGGGUGAAGUCGUAACAAGGUACC